rnacentral:sRNA from 1 species
GCUGGGUGCAGUGGUGCACACCUGAAAUCCCAGCAGCUUGGAAGGCUGAGACAGGAGGAUCACAAGUUCAAAGCCAGCUUCAGUAACAGCAAAGCACUAAGCAACUCAGUGAGACCCUGUCUCUA